GUUAAAAGCUACUAUAAAGCCUUGGAUUCCAACGCCGGAACAAUUGGGUGUACCGUAUACUGAUCUGCAUUGUGGAACUACGGUAUGCCUUACUGCUUAUCAUAGUCAUAUAGUUAUGUACGUUCGUCCCUUAGAUAUUCUAGGUUUGGCACGCUAUAACUUUAUUAUGGAAACUGUUGCAAAAUGCGCUGAAAUAUCUGAAUUUUUGGAAAAUCCACAUAUUGGGCAACUGGCAUUAGCACAGCGUGGUGAUGG